UACGUAGGGUGCAAGCGUUAAUCGGAAUCACUGGGCGUAAAGGGUGCGUAGGCGGGUCUUUAAGUCAGGGGUGAAAUCCUGGAGCUCAACUCCAGAACUGCCUUUGAUACUGAAGAUCUUGAGUUCGGGAGAGGUGAGUGGAACUGCGAGUGUAGAGGUGAAAUUCGUAGAUAUUCGCAAGAACACCAGUGGCGAAGGCGGCACACUGGCCCGAUACUGACGCUGAGGCACGAAAGCGUGGGGAGCAAACAGG
rnacentral:rRNA from 1 species